ensembl:snoRNA
CUGGCCCUGAAUCGAGGCCAGCAGUUUUCUGAAGCUGUUGGUUUCAAGUAGGAGCCUAAAGUGGUAUCUUUCUAUGUUCUGCUGGCCACUGCAGAACUUUAGAAUUGUAAUGGUCAAUUCAUUAGAAAGAAACAACU